UACGGAGGAUCCGAGCGUUAUCCGGAUUUAUUGGGUUUAAAGGGUGCGUAGGUGGCCUGUUAAGUCAGGGGUGAAAGACGGUAGCUCAACUAUCGCAGUGCCCUUGAUACUGAUGGGCUUGAAUGAACUAGAGGUAGGCGGAAUGUGACAAGUAGCGGUGAAAUGCAUAGAUAUGUCACAGAACACCAAUUGCGAAGGCAGCUUACUAUGGUUUUAUUGACACUGAGGCACGAAAGCGUGUGGAUCAAACA
rnacentral:rRNA from 1 species